AAACCACACACUUUCUGCCAAAUUCCUUGGAAAAAAAGACUGUCCUAACCUAACAAAAAGGGCGUCUGGACUUCUCCAACGCGCCCAUAAAAAGGUCAGAUAAUCUACUCGACAUGUCACUAAAAACAGAGAUAAAAUAGCUCCUACAACUAGUAUUCAACAUUAUUAGUAAUAAAAGUUAAUUUCUGA